rnacentral:rRNA from 1 species
UGAAAUCUGGCUCCUUCGGAGUCCGAGUUGUAAUUUGUAGAAGAUGCUUUGGGUUGUGGGCUCGGCCUAAGUUCCUUGGAACAGGACGUCAUAGAGGGUGAGAAUCCCGUAUGUGGCCAUGGCCCGCGCCUAUGUAAAGCUCUUUCGACGAGUCGAGUUGUUUGGGAAUGCAGCUCAAAAUGGGUGGUAAAUUUCAUCUAAAGCUAAAUAUGGGCCAGAGACCGAUAGCGCACAAGUAGAGUGAUCGAAAGAUGAAAAGCACUUUGGAAAGAGAGUUAAACAGUACGUGAAAUUGUUGAAAGGGAAGCGCUUGCAACCAGACUUGGGCGCUGCCGAUCACCCCGAGUUCUCUCGGGUGCACUCGACAGCGCACAGGCCAGCAUCGGUUCGGGUGGCUGGAUAAAGGCCGUAGGAAUGUAGCUCUCUUCGGAGAGUGUUAUAGCCCACGGUGCCAUGCAGCCCAGCCGGACCGAGGACCGCGCCUUCGGGCUAGGAUGCUGGCGUAAUGGUUGUAAGCGACCCGUCUUGAAACACGGACCAAGGAGUCUAACAUCUAUGCGAGUGUUUGGGCGUUAAACCCAUACGCGGAAUGAAAGUGAACGUAGGUGAGAUCCCCUUUGGGGCGCAUCAUCGACCGAUCCUGAUGUCUUCGGAUGGAUUUGAGUAAGAGCAUAGCUGUUGGGACCCGAAAGAUGGUGAACUAUGCCUGAAUAGGGUGAAGCCAGAGGAAACUCUGGUGGAGGCUCGCAGCGGUUCUGACGUGCAAAU